CCUACGGGAGGCAGCAGUGGGGAAUAUUGCACAAUGGGGGAAACCCUGAUGCAGCGACGCCGCGUGAGCGAGGAAGUAUUUCGGUAUGUAAAGCUCUAUCAGCAGGGACGAAAAAAGACGGUACCUGACUCAGCAGCCCCGGCUAACUACAUGCCAGCAGCCGCGGUAAUACGUAGGGGGCGAGCGUUAUCCGGUUUUAUUGGGUUUAAGGGGUGCGCAGGCGGAGGUGAAAGUCAGCGGUAAAAUUGCGGGGCUCAACCCCGUACUGCCGUUGAAACUGCAUCCCUUGAGUGCGCGAGAGGUAUGCGGAAUGCGUGGUGUAGCGGUGAAAUGCAUAGAUAUCACGCAGAACUCCGAUUGCGAAGGCAGCAUACCGGCGCGCAACUGACGCUCAUGCACGAAAGCGUGGGUAUCGAACAGGAUUAGAUACCCGAGUAGUC
rnacentral:rRNA from 1 species